ACCUUAUAAAGAGUGAUGGAGGGACUGGCCCUAUGAUAUCACAGCAACCUAUUAAGUUAGGUGCUAAAGCCGGACGAUAAGGA
rnacentral:ncRNA from 2 species